UUUAUCGUCUUUUUCAAGGUAACCAGAUUGAAUAUUUCAAAGUUUGAACUAAUAUUCCUACGGCUCCCAGUUUGCUUCUCAUCUUCCUCACCCUUCCAUCUCAAUAAAACUGAUCCUUCUUCCACUAUUACAAAGAUAUUUCUAUUUGUUUCGUUACCGAUGAUCACCAGGAAGAGAUUGAAGGUGCGCUGUUCUUUAGGAUGAUUGACAUCGUCGACGGCUCUGAACCCCUCCAAGACAUUAAUCAAACAGCACGGUGUAUGCGUACAGAAGCAAAUUAAGUAUAAUAAUCGCUUUCUAUUCCUGUUUUAGGGUUUACCUGGUCCGAUUUCUUGUGGCUAACUCGCGACAUCAAAUAUCUCGGCUCCAAAAACCAUAUUUUCUAGGGGUGAUGGAGAAAUCCGGGGAAUCCAAGCAAAAAUAUAUCAUCGCCGCCCAUCAAGUAGAUUGACGCAGAGCUACGACAGGAAGUAUACAUGUUGAACUUAAAGAAGUUCCCUUGCCCCAAUUUGCACAUGAAAUGGAGUUAUUGAACCAUUGUAAAAAAAGUCACAAUAAAAAGUGUUCCUGAUGUGCUAUAUAAAAGCUUGGAUUAUGAUGCUUAAAGACAUGGGAUUGGAUUGAUCUAUUGUAUUCGGGAUUUAGAAAGGCUGGUGAAAUUGGAUUUACAAACUUCACAUAAUGAAUUGGCAACUUUGGAGAAGCAAAAGUCAGAUGAUAAGAUGUUGAAGUUGGUAGAUGAUCAAAAGGUUCAUUUGAUUAUUCUUUUUAAGUCUUGAGUGUUAUGAUAAAGGUUCUGGUUUCGGUAUUGAUUUCAAGAUCUAUUAACACGCAUUUUGCUUUUGGUUUAUUUUUAUAAUACAUUCGACUAUAUAGUUUCCUCAGAGUUACAAAUUGGCCUCAGGUAUGUUAUGCCUCUGCCAUUUGAACUUUUUGCCCUCUUUGUCUUUAUAGUUGGUUAUUGGAUGAAAUAUUCACAUCUACACAUUUUUUUUGUUAAGCCGCCAUUUUUCUCAUGGACUUGCAGGUAUACUUCCAUUUCCCCUCUAUUUUCAAAAUAUAUAUACACAAUCACAAUUAUUGCCAAUAUAAAUGUUGUAAUCAAUAGAAGUAAUAUUUUAGAAACCAAAUAAGUAACAUGUAAAGAUAGAAAAGGUUUAAAAUUUUGUAUAUAUCUAUUUUCUAUCUUAUAUCUGUUAUCUAUUAUACCUUCUAAAGCAUAGUUGGUCGGCGUGUUUAUUUUUUUUAUUCAUGGAUAUCUUAAUGUUGAGUAUGGAUUUUUGCGAAACAUGACUAUGAUAUUUGUUCCGUACAUUAACAGGUAUUCAGUCAGUCAAUAGGAGUGGCUUCAUAUAUCUAACCUCAAGUAUCAUUUCUCAUAAGGUUAUACAAGGUUGAAACCUCUACAUACCUUGAUUUCUUUCAGAAUCUAAUGUGAAUUUAAAGAUGUAACCUCUGGUAUAUAUUCUGACCUAAACUUCUAUUUGUUUUGGGUCAUAAAAGGUCAUCAACCUCACCAUUUGACUUCGAUUUUAUUCAAAAUCUGGUGCGACCUUGAAGAUUUAUCCACAUUUAUACUUUACAUGCAUGAUUUUCUUAUUGUAUUUUGUUUAACUUUACAAAAAUACCCUUAUAAUUGAAAUUAAUUUGAACAGAACUCGAAAGGAGGGUUCAAAAUCUGUUGAUUAUGGUUUGGUGCAAGGAACUAUGCCUGGAUCUGAGGGUUCCAUUUACUGUUUUUUCUGGAGCCUUCACAAAUCCAAUGACACCAUGAUCUGGAUCAUGGGUUUAGUGAUAAACUAAAUGCAUAUGAUCGGAUGAGUGGCAUACUUUGAUUGUCUAUAGUGGUUGUGUUAUUUUUCCUUAAUCAAAAGCAACAUCAACAACAUUACCAAGAAAAGUAACAACAUUUUGUUCUUGGUUGUCUUGCUCAUGUCUUGGUUGUGCUUAUCUAGAUACAAUGUUGUAAUAAGAAAAAAACAAUGAUGUUAUUAUAAGAAAAAAAUUUGAAGUGAGAUGUUCACUAUGUUCCUGUAGAAGUAUUUUUAUUAUUUUUUAAUAUAUUUCUUCUGGAAUUAUUUA